rnacentral:rRNA from 1 species
CCUACGGGCGGCAGCAGUGGGGAAUAUUGGGCAAUGGGCGCAAGCCUGACCCAGCAACGCCGCGUGAAGGAAGAAGGCUUUCGGGUUGUAAACUUCUUUUAAGGGGGAAGAGGAGAAGACGGUACCCCUUGAAUAAGCCACGGCUAACUACGUGCCAGCAGCCGCGGUAAUACGUAGGUGGCAAGCGUUGUCCGGAUUUACUGGGUGUAAAGGGCGUGUAGCCGGGUUGACAAGUCAGAUGUGAAAUCCUGCGGCUUAACCGCAGAACUGCAUUUGAAACUGUUGAUCUUGAGUACUGGAGAGGCAGACGGAAUUCCUAGUGUAGCGGUGAAAUGCGUAGAUAUUAGGAGGAACACCAGUGGCGAAGGCGGCUUACUGGACGAUGACUGACGCUGAGGCUCGAAAGCGUGGGGAGCAAACAGGAUUAGAUACCCGUG